rnacentral:antisense_RNA from 1 species
UUUGAUGGCGGCUGUGCGCAGGGCGCCCUCGGGCGCGCCGGCUUGCUAAGUCCCCGGUCUACUAACCUGCGUACAGCUGCCACCCCU